AUUGAACGCUGGCGGCAGGCCUAACACAUGCAAGUCGAACGGUAACAGGAAACAGCUUGCUGUUUCGCUGACGAGUGGCGGACGGGUGAGUAAUGUCUGGGAAACUGCCUGAUGGAGGGGGAUAACUACUGGAAACGGUAGCUAAUACCGCAUAACGUCGCAAGACCAAAGAGGGGGACCUUCGGGCCUCUUUCCAUCAGAUGUGCCCAGAUGGGAUUAGCUAGUAGGUGGGGUAACGGCUCACCUAGGCGACGAUCCCUAGCUGGUCUGAGAGGAUGACCAGCCACACUGGAACUGAGACACGGUCCAGACUCCUACGGGAGGCAGCAGUGGGGAAUAUUGCACAAUGGGCGCAAGCCUGAUGCAGCCAUGCCGCGUGUAUGAAGAAGGCCUUCGGGUUGUAAAGUACUUUCAGCGGGGAGGAAGGGAGUAAAGUUAAUACCUUUGCUCAUUGACGUUACCCGCAGAAGAAGCACCGGCUAACUCCGUG
rnacentral:rRNA from 1 species